rnacentral:rRNA from 1 species
GACGAACGCUGGCGGCGUGCUUAACACAUGCAAGUCGAACGGAAAGGCCUCUUUCGGGUUGUGCUCGACUGGCACACGGGUGAGUAACACGUGAGUAACCUGCCCUUGACUUUGGGCUAACUUCAGGAAACUGGUGCUAAUACCGGAUAGGAUCUCCUGCUGCCUGGUGGGGGUUGGCACGUUUCGGCAGUUGGGUAUUGACUCGUGGCUUAUCAGCGUGUUGGUGGGGUAGUGGCUUACGAAUGAUUUGACGGGUAGCCGGCCUGAGAGGGUGGCCGGCCACAUUGAGAGGGGGAUGAGGCGCAGAAGGCGACGGAAGGCAGGAGUGGGGAAUACUGGACAGAAGUCGGACGCGUGAUGCAGCGACGCGGUGUGGGGGAUGACGGCCUUCGGGUUGUAAACUCCUUUGGAACGCGAGGAGGCAACCUGGGUGGAAGGGUGGUGACGGUAGUGGUAGAAGAAGCACCGGCUAACUACGUG